AGGAUCAUUUUAUUAUAACCAGAGCCUUGUAGAUCUGGCAAAUCAUGUAGACAAUGAAAAAUGAGAAGAAAAAUAAACUCUUUUUAUUAGAACCAAGACCUCAUGAAUCUUGGUCACUCACAAAGUAAAACAUAGGAAAAACACAUUGAAACAGAAAUAGCUUAAAGCUCAUCCUUCUUGAGCGCGGAUGGACGAACACCUUGACUGAGGAAAUCCUUGUAAUACUUGCCGGAUUCUUUCUCGUAACGUGUGAGGUUAUUUUUGAAAUCAACGUAGUAGAGUCCAAAUCUGUUUUUGUAACCAUCUUGCCACUCGAAGUUAUCCAACAAUGACCAUACAAAGUAUCCUGUAACAUUCACUUUGUCGAUGCUGCAGAUAUUACACAAAUGUUUUUAUUAGAUUCUUCACUACAAUUGUUAGUAUAUCAGAUGAAAAGGAAAUAGGACAUACCAAACAGCUUCUUGCAUACUCAAAAGAUGCCUCUGAAGAUAAUAUUUCCUGUUAUGAUCAGCGGUACCAACAGCAACAGAAUCUGAGGCCCCUAGUUCUUCUCCAUAUCC
rnacentral:sRNA from 1 species